rnacentral:rRNA from 1 species
CCCUUAGAUGUUCUGGGCUGCACGCGCGCUACACUGAAGCGUUCAACGAGUAUUCACCUUGCCCGGGAGGGUUGGGUAAUCUUUUGAAAACGCUUCGUGAUGGGGAUAGAUUAUUGCAAUUAUUAAUCUUCAACGAGGAAUUCCUAGUAAGCGCGAGUCAUCAGCUCGUGCUGAUUACGUCCCUGCCCUUUGUACACACCGCCCGUCGCUCCUACCGAUUGAAUGUGUUGGUGAGGAGCUCGGAUUGGCAGCAGUUGGUGGUUCGCCACCGGCUAUUGCUGAGAAGUCCUCCAAACCGCCCCAUUUAGAGGAAGGAGAAGUCGUAACA